GUAUCUCCUAAUAGGUGGCAUUUCAGAAGAUUUCAACAUCUGCUUUUGGGCAGUGGGGUGGGAUUACAGUACUGCUGGACUGAAAUUGGACUCUGUCCAUCAGCUUUCUAUGAGAACCGCAUGGAUUCUUCUAUUGAGCGGCAUUUCUCAAAAUGCCAAUAAUAUUUUUCUAAUCAAUAAAACAUGUGGUUUCAUUAAAAAAAGACCAAGAAGGAAAGGGACUAUUUGUGGAGGGGGGAAAUCUCAUAUUUACCUCUGCCUUACAAAGACAGGAUGUAUUUCAAUUUCACAAUCACCUUGAGGAUGCCUGAUAUGAUUAGAGAAAGAUGGGAAGGGAUUUUUUAUUUAUUUGUUUGCUUUGCACUUUGGAGCAAGCUGUCCAAUCAGGGUGCAACUUUGUACCUCAGUCUACCUUCUCCCAUAAUGCCUUGUAGUCUUCAAAGUGCCACUUAUAUUCCCAGGUGACUAAAGGGCUACCUUGUCACUUUCCCCCUUCCUUUCAAAGAAUGGUUUUAGAAUGGAGAGGUAAAACAGAUGACUACUCCAUUCCUAUCAAGGGGCCUCAUCUUCUCCAUCCGUAUGUGCCAUGCCUCUAAUCUACUCACACCCCAACCCCAUGAAGGAGCUUCAGCAGCUGGACUGGAAAGGCAGCAGAAAGAUACAUGGGGGCAGGGGCGGAGAGAGCAAAAUGAAGAAGAAAGAGAGGUGAUCCAGUGGGGAGAGUGUCUAAGAGGAGGAGGGAAGAAGUACUAUGGAGAAAGCACUAGGGAACAGAUAGACUGAGCAGAGGGAAAGACACAACAGAAGGAAGGGGCAGUGCAAUGGGAUGGUGUUAGCAGUGGGAAACAUGAGCAUAUUUGCCUAAGGACUGUGACUUGCCAGAGACUUUGCUUCUUACUAAACACAACCUAAAUGGGCCCAUCCAGAUGCAAACUUCAUUUCAGAGUUGUGUCCCUGUUUCCACCCUUGUUGUUUGCUACUCAUUUAGGACUGAAGAUAUUCUUACCAGCAUCAGAUCAGAGUCUUCAGAUUUCAUGCCUGAACCAGAAGCGGUUUCAGAAUCUCUGCCUGCUGGCGAUGAGGUCUGGUUGGGAACAUUCCAGAGUUUGUCUUUAACUAAUUGUGCAAAAAAGGAGUGCCUUUUGCUUACAUGAUACGACGUAAAAAAUUCCAAAGCCUUCCCAUUAAAAAACAAAAAAGUUAUGAGGAGUCAUUUGUGCUGAUAUAUUGAGGAGCAACGUGUCUCUCUAUAGCUCCCCAUUGAGAUGAUGUAUCAAGCAUCUGUCGGCUUUGCUCUGAGGGCAGCUG
rnacentral:lncRNA from 1 species